rnacentral:rRNA from 1 species
UACGGAGGAUCCAAGCGUUAUCCGGAAUUACUGGGCGUAAAGAGUUGCGUAGGUGGCAUAGUAAGUAAAUAGUGAAAGCGUGUGGCUCAACCAUACAUCCAUUAUUUAAACUGCUAAGCUAGAGAAUGAGAGAGGUUAUUGGAAUUCCCAGUGUAGGAGUGAAAUCCGUAGAUAUUGGGAGGAACACCGAUGGCGUAGGCAGAUAACUGGCUCAUUUCUGACACUAAGGCACGAAAGCGUGGGGAGCAAACGGG